AAAACUGGUUUUGCAGAGGGUUUUCUGAAAGCUCAAACACUAACACAAAAAACCAAUGAUUCUCUAAGACGAACCCGUCUGAUUCUCUUUGUUCUGCUGCUAUUUGGCAUUUAUGGACUCCUAAAAAACCCAUUUUUAUCUGUUCGCUUCCGGACAACAACAGGGCUUGAUUCUGCAGUUGAUCCUGUCCAGAUGAAAAAUGUCACCUUUGAACAUGUUAAAGGAGU